UACGUAGGGGGGCAAGCGUUGUCCGGAAUUACUGGGCGUAAAGCGCGUGUAGGCGGGACGGUUAGUCGGACGUGAAAGGCUGGGGCUCAACCCCAGAUCGCCGUUCGAAACUGCCGUUCUUGAGGGUCGAAGAGGAGAGUGGAAUUCCUGGUGUAGCGGUGAAAUGCGUAGAGAUCGGGAGGAACACCGGUGGCGAAGGCGGGUCUCUGGGCAAUUCCUGACGCUGAGGCGCGAAAGCGUGGGGAGCAAACGGG
rnacentral:rRNA from 1 species